UUAGUAACCCAGGGAACGAAAUUUUUACGAAGACUUACAGAAACGUCGCGAAGCAACUCGCACUUCAACCACACACACCCUCUCCGUCACCGCAUCGUUGCUAGAAAAAUGGGAUCCGCUUCGAUUCUGCUUCGAUUUGAAUUCAAGAAUGGCUUCCUAUUCUGUCUGACUGAGACGAGGAUGAAGAACUUCGUGUUCGCCAUUGUGGAUUGAGAUGAAGAGAGCGGAAUAAUUGUUGGUCUAUGAAGGUGUUGUUGCGUUGCCGACGAAGAGAAUGAAUCAACGAAGAAUCCAGAGUAAUUUCCGCGAGAUCUCGAACGAAUCUGUAUCCGAUCCGAAGUCCGGCCAAAUCGUAAGCUCCGAUGAUCCUUCUUCUUCUUCUUCUUCUCGUUCUUAGUUUGUUUCUCUGAAUUCUGUGAAACUCUUUUGGCUAUGGAGUUGUGGUUUUUGGUUUUUGCUACCUCUUCAAUCUCUCUUUCUGUUUCAUUCUAUGAAGGUUGUGUGUAGUUAAAAUGGUGAGUGAAGAUUGGUGAGGUUUGAAUGGUUCAAAGUUGACGGAAGGUUUGGUGAUUUGUGAAGUGGAGAUUUUGAGGAGGGUUGUUGAAUGAUGGUGAAGAUGAUGGAGUGAAGUUGGGGGUUCUGUUAAGGGUGGUCUUAUUGAAGGUUGGGGCGUCAAGAAGCUGUUGUGGGCGUGAGGCUCCGUUAGCCGGUUUUCAGAAGAAAAAAUAGUUAUUUUAACUUUCCGUUCCAUCCCCUUUUUUUCUAUUGGAGUUUGUUAUGAGAAGUAAAUCAGCUCGGUUUUGGGAGGUUUUCUUUGUAGGGUAUUCAAGGAUUGGUUUUGUCAUGUGGAGAGCGAUUGGAGGUCCUUUUUCUUUCAAUGUCAGUUGGAAAUCCUGAGUUAGAGUGUGGAUUUGGUUAGUGUCGUGAGGUUGUAACGGUCGGGAUUCAGUUAUCCUUUCUGUCGGAGGUUAGAAUUUGUUUUUUGAAGACACUCUGCUAGUUAUCAAUGUCAGUUACAAUGUGAUUGCAAUUUUACUGGACAUUCUGUUAGGGAGGUUAGAAAUCCGUACAGGUCAUUGAAGGGUUAUUUUGAAUCGGUUAGAGAAGGGUUAGUUUGUUAGUUGUGUAGAAGUUUGUUGGAAGGUUUAUUGAAUUGGUUGAAAUUGUGUACAUUGGUUUUUCUCUGCUGCAGGUCUUUGAAUGCUAUAAAUUAGAAGGAACUUGGAAUUCUGCCGGUUUUUCUCAAAGUUGGUUCUCAGUUUGGAAGUCAAGAGAUUUUGUUCAAUCUUUUGUGUGAGCAGAUAACUUUUUGGAGUUUAUUUCUCUAUUUCAAUUGUGAUGCAGGGUCAUUGGUUUUAUGUUUUUUCUAUUAUGCUCCCAUUGAGAGGUUUUAUGUUUUUUCUAUUAUGCUCCCAUUGAGAGCUUUUUCUUCCAAUAGUGUAGAAGUAUCUAUUUAAAUCGUUCACUGACACAACACGAGGUGAAUCUAUAUCUAUAUAGGAGUAGCUUGCAACUGGUUGAAUAUGAAGUCAUGACUCACAUAUAGUAAUAAGUAGUAGUAUCUAAAAGCAGUACACGCUGACACGUGAAAGCAGAUGUUGAAUAUGAAGUCAUGACUCAUAUAUAUCCAAAAAGCAGUAGAGACACGUGAAAGCAUUACACUGCACUUUAGUUCACUGACACUGACACUAAAACAGUAAGGCAAGAAAACACUAUUUAUAGGACACUACUUAGGGUUAAAGAGUAUUGAAACAGUAAGACUAUUUAAAGGACACCACUGGCACUUAGUGUUAAAAGAGAAACAGUAAGGCAAGAAAACACUAUUUAUAGGACACUACUUAGUGUUAAAGAGUAUUGAAACAGUAAGACUAUUUAAAGGACACCACUGGCACUUAGUGUUAAAAGAGAGUAAAAUACUUCCACUUAUUAAGCCAGUAUGACAUUGAACCAUAUCACAGGAUCCCACAUCACAUCUCUUUUCCCUUCUUCUCUGUAAGAUUAUCAGCAUUGUCCAAAGGGAAAUCGGUUUUCAUUAACUCCCAUUGAAUCACACCCUCUUUCACUUUUGAAAAUGAUGAUGAUCCUUGACCUCUAAGAAAAUUACUUGCCAUUACAUCCAGCUUCUUUGAUAUACCUCUCAAUUCUUCAUAAUCAUCAUCUCUUUCCAGCAUUUUUCUUUUCAGUUUUAGUUGGAACU
rnacentral:lncRNA from 1 species